rnacentral:rRNA from 1 species
UACGAAGGGGGGCUAGCGUUACUCGGAUUGACUGGGCGUAAAGGGCGCGUAGGCGGAUGGUACAGUCAGACGUGAAAUUCCUGGGCUCAGCCUGGGGGCUGCGUUUGAUACGUGCUGUCUGGAGUUCGGAAGAGGGUCGUGGAAUUCCCAGUGUAGAGGUGAAAUUCGUAGAUAUUGGGAAGAACACCGGUGGCGAAGGCGGCGACCUGGUCCGAUACUGACGCUGAGGCGCGAAAGCGUGGGGAGCAAACAGG